rnacentral:rRNA from 1 species
UUGGAAACGAUUGCUAAUACCCGAUGUGCAGCAAUGUGAAAGAUUUAUUGCCUAGAGAUGAGCUCGCGUCUGAUUAGCUAGUAGGUGUGGUAAUGGCGCACCUAGGCGACGAUCAGUAACUGGUCUGAGAGGAUGACCAGUCACACUGGGACUGAGACACGGCCCAGACUCCUACGGGAGGCAGCAGUGGGGAAUUUUCCGCAAUGGGCGAAAGCCUGACGGAGCAAUACCGCGUGAGGGACGAAGGCUUUUGGGUCGUAAACCUCUUUUCCCUGAGAAGAAGAUCUGACGGUCUCAGGGGAAUCAGCAUCGGCUAACUUCGUGCCAGCAGCCGCGGUAAUACGGGGGAUGCAAGCGUUAUCCGGAAUUAUUGGGCGUACAGCGUCCGCA